GAGUUUGAUCCUGGCUCAGAGUGAACGCUGGCGGCAGGCCUAACACAUGCAAGUCGAACGGCAGCGCAGCAGUAGCAAUACUGUGGGCGGCGAGUGGCGGACGGGUGAGGAAUACAUCGGAAUCUACCUUGUCGUGGGGGGAUAACGUAGGGAAACUUACGCUAAUACCGCAUACGACCUACGGGUGAAAGCGGCGGACUCGCAAGAGCGUCGCGCGAUUGGAUGAGCCGAUGUCCGAUUAGCUAGUUGGCGGGGUAAGAGCCCACCAAGGCGACGAUCGGUAGCUGGUCUGAGAGGAUGAUCAGCCACACUGGAACUGAGACACGGUCCAGACUCCUACGGGAGGCAGCAGUGGGGGAAUAUUGGACAAUGGGCGCAAGCCUGAUCCAGCCAUGCCGCGUGUGUGAAG
rnacentral:rRNA from 1 species